rnacentral:rRNA from 1 species
UACAGAGGUGGCAAGCGUUGUUCGGAAUUACUGGGCGUAAAGGGCGCGUAGGCGGUUCUGUAAGUCCCGCGUGAAAUCCCCCGGCUCAACUGGGGAACUGCGCGGGAAACUGCGGGGCUUGAGUUCGGGAGAGGGAAGCGGAAUUCCGGGUGUAGCGGUGAAAUGCGUAGAUAUCCGGAGGAACACCGGUGGCGAAGGCGGCUUCCGGGACCGACACUGACGCUGAGGCGCGAAAGCUAGGGGAGCAAACGGG